rnacentral:rRNA from 1 species
UACGUAGGGUGCGAGCGUUGUCCGGAAUUAUUGGGCGUAAAGGGCUCGUAGGCGGUUUGUCGCGUCGGGAGUGAAAACCCAGGGCUUAACCCUGGGCUGGCUUCCGAUACGGGCAGACUAGAGGUAUGCAGGGGGAGAACGGAAUUCCUGGUGUAGCGGUGAAAUGCGCAGGAUAUCAGGAGGAACACCGGUGGCGAAGGCG